rnacentral:rRNA from 1 species
UGAAGCUGGGGGGCAGGCCUAACAAUGCAGUCGAACGGUGGCAGGAGUAAGCUUGCUGCUUCGCUGACGAGUGGCGGACGGGUGAGUAAUGUCUGGGAAACUGCCUGAUGGAGGGGGAUAACUACUGGAAACGGUGGCUAAUACCGCAUAACGUCGCAAGACCAAAGAGGGGGACCUUCGGGCCUCUUGCCAUCAGAUGUGCCCAGAUGGGAUUAGCUUGUUGGUGAGGUAACGGCUCACCAAGGCGACGAUCCCUAGCUGGUCUGAGAGGAUGACCAGCCACACUGGAACUGAGACACGGUCCAGACUCCUACGGGAGGCAGCAGUGGGGAAUAUUGCACAAUGGGCGCAAGCCUGAUGCAGCCAUGCCGCGUGUAUGAAGAAGGCCUUCGGGUUGUAAAGUACUUUCAGCGGGGAGGAAGGUGUUGUGGUUAAUAACCGCAGCAAUUGACGUUACCCGCAGAAGAAGCACCGGCUAACUCCGUGCCAGCAGCCGCGGUAAUACGGAGGGUGCAAGCGUUAAUCGGAAUUACUGGGCGUAAAGCGCACGCAGGCGGUCUGUCAAGUCGGAUGUGAAAUCCCCGGGCUCACCUGGGAACUGCAUUCGAAACUGGCAGGCUUGAGUCUUGUAGAGGGGGGUAGAAUUCCAGGUGUACGGUGAAAUGCGUAGAGAUCUGAGGAAUACCGUGCGA